GGUGGUCUAGUGGUUAGAGUGUCUGCCUCGAAUGCAGGAGGUCGUGGUUCAAUCCCUGGUAGAUUCA